ACAAUAUGAAGGAAAUUAUGUCAUUAGUGAUCAGAUUAAAUGAGCAGAAAAUGGUUCUGUAAUCUUGGUGGACAAUAUAGAGCACUGUGUGUUUGCUGUAAGGGCAGACCAACAAAACAAUCUUCCUACUUUUGAAUGAACUGUCUUUACUAGAGGCUGUUCUUUCAGUUGUCAGGGAGAAAGUGAUAAUUGGAGUGAGACAGUAGGGACAUGGCAUAUUCGGGAAUCUGGUUGGGGCUCUUAAAAGACAUGGCUUGUGUUGUGACCACUGAAAGAUGAACGCAGAUCUUUGGUAAUAUGCUGGCU